GCUCACUGCUCUUUCUGUCAGA
rnacentral:miRNA from 2 species